rnacentral:lncRNA from 1 species
UGUCACUUUUCUUAUCACUCAAAAAAUCUGUAAGGAUCUGAUUUUCUAGACUCCAAGCAGGGUCUAUUUUUUCUUUUAAAUAGUUGAUAAGACUGUUUGUUACUUAUUUUGAUAAUAAUUAGCUUCACCUAAAGAACAUAAAUAGUCUUUUUACUAUCAAGCAGUAGGAGGGUGAAUCUCUCUGAGACUACAUGGUGUGCUUCACUGCCGCGACACUGGAAGUAAAAAAUUUUAAUGACUCUGUUGCAAUGGCUGCCUUAAAGUGAGGACACCGAAGUAGUCACCGAUUUUUUCUCUAAAUAAGAAUUAUCUGGACACCUAUGAUCAAAUGUUAACCAAGAUCCGAAAGUAUGCCCAAGCCAAAGAGGAAGAAAAUUUAAUGCAGUAAGCAAAGAAAAAAAAGAAUGGAAAAAAAUGGCCCUUAGAAGAGGAUCAUGGAGAUCAACCAGAAAAUAGUUCCAGUCGAUCUCAGAAGAAUCCGAGGUCAAGAAGUCCGCCUCGAUAUUUUGAUACCUACACUCCUUUAUCUACUCUUUGUAUCUAAAUUCUGAUGAAAAUCAAAGACCAAGGAUAUCUUCAUCGAUCCAACCCUCUAAAGAUUCCAUCGGUGAAGAGAGAUAAAAGAAAAUACUAUCACUUUCACUGAGAC